UUCAAUGGUGUUUUAGGAUAAAUCGUUU
rnacentral:sRNA from 1 species